rnacentral:rRNA from 1 species
CCUACGGGUGGCUGCAGUGAGGAAUAUUGGUCAAUGGGCGGAAGCCUGAACCAGCCAAGUAGCGUGCAGGAUGACGGCCCUACGGGUUGUAAACUGCUUUUAUACGGGAAUAACGCGCCUUACGUGUAGGGCUUUGCAUGUACCGUAUGAAUAAGGACCGGCUAAUUCCGUGCCAGCAGCCGUGGUAAUACGGAAGGUUCGGGCGUUAUCCGGAUUUAUUGGGGUUAAAGGGAGCGUAGGCCGCAAGUCAAGCGUGGGGUGAAAUGUCCGGGCUCAACCCGGGCCUUGCAGCGCGAACUGGCGGGCUGGAGUCCGCGGGAGGCAGGCGGAAUUCGUCGUGUAGCGGUGAAAUGCUUAGAUAUGACGAAGAACCCCGAUUGCGAAGGCAGCUUGAUGCAGCGGAACUGACGCUGAUGCUCGAAAGCGCGGGUAUCGAACAGGAUUAGAUACCCCGGUAGUC